rnacentral:lncRNA from 1 species
UCAUCAUUUAACAGAGUAUUUGACGGAAACUUUUGGUACGAAGUUGAUACAAAAAAAACUUUAGGUAGAAAAGUUUGAAUUUCGAAAAACUUCCGGAUAAUAAAGUAAAAUUUAUCCUAUUUUUAUUAUAGAAAGAAACUCAAUUUUAAGUCUUCUCCCAUUCCAUCCCAUGUACUAUAAAUAAUUGUUAAAAAAGAAAAAAAAAACUCAAUUCCAU